GGGAUGGAGAAACCCCAGAAUACCGAGGAGCAAGUGCUGGUGCAGGAACUGGAGCUACAUGAGACUGCUUUCCACUCCCUGAAGGCUUUCCUUUAUAGCCAAAUCUACAGCCAGGAGGCCUUGCCUCAUAACUUGGUUGAGGUGCAGGUGAUGGUGAGCUUUUGCCGUGGACAGGUGAGAUUUUUCUAUGGGCAGGUGAAACGGCUCGAGGUGAAUGCGCACUAUCAUGAGUUGCAGGUGCAGGUGAAAUAGUAGGGGGCUGAUGGAAGUGAUGGUGGUGAGAGUGGUGGUGAUGGUGAUGGUGGUGUGCAUGGUGGGGCCCAGGAAGAGGAGCUGGAGAAGGUGGUAAUGACGGUCCAGCUCCGUCGCCACCAUUGAGAGAGUGCUGCAAU
rnacentral:lncRNA from 1 species